AUUGAACGCUGGCGGCAUGCUUUACACAUGCAAGUCGAACGGCAGCGCGGGCUUCGGCCUGUCGGAGAGUGGCGAACGGGUGAGUAAUACAGCGGAACGUGCCCAGUUGUGGGGGCUAGCUCGGCGACAGCCGGAUUAAUACCGCAUACGACCUGAGGGUGAAAGCGGGGGAUCUUCGGACCUCGCGCCAUUGCAGCGGCCGAUGGCGGAUUAGCUAGUUGGUGGGGUAAAGGCCUACCAAGGCGACGAUCUGUAGCUGGUCUGAGAGGACGACCAGCCACACUGGGACUGAGACACGGCCCAGACUCCUACGGGAGGCAGCAGUGGGGAAUUUUGGACAAUGGGCGAAAGCCUGAUCCAGCAAUGCCGCGUGUGUGAUGAAGGCCUUCGGGUUGUAAAGCACUUUUGGCGGGAACGAAAAGGACUGUGCCAAUACCACGGUUCGAUGACGGUACCCGCAGAAUAAGCACCGGCUAACUACGUG
rnacentral:rRNA from 1 species